AUUGAACGCUGGCGGCAUGCCUUACACAUGCAAGUCGAACGGUAACAGGUCUUCGGAUGCUGACGAGUGGCGAACGGGUGGGUAAUACAUCGGAACGUGCCUAGUAGUGGGGGAUAACUACUCGAAAGAGUGGCUAAUACCGCAUGAGAUCUACGGAUGAAAGCAGGGGAUCGCAAGACCUUGUGCUACUAGAGCGGCCGAUGGCAGAUUAGGUAGUUGGUGGGAUAAAAGCUUACCAAGCCGACGAUCUGUAGCUGGUCUGAGAGGACGAUCAGCCACACUGGGACUGAGAGACGGCCCAGACUCCUACGGGAGGCAGCAGUGGGGAAUUUUGGACAAUGGGCGCAAGCCUGAUUCAGCAAUGCCGCGUGCAGGAUGAAGGCCUUCGGGUUGUAAACUGCUUUUGUACGGAACGAAAAGCCCCGGGUUAAUACCCUGGGGUCAUGACGGUACCGUAAGAAUAAGCACCGGCUAACUACGUGCCAGCCGCCGCAGUAA
rnacentral:rRNA from 1 species